CCUACGGGUGGCAGCAGUGGGGAAUAUUGCGCAAUGGGCGAAAGCCUGACGCAGCGACGCCGCGUGAGGGAUGAAGGUCUUCGGAUCGUAAACCUCUGUCAGCAGGGAAGAACGGUCACUGUGCUAAUCAGCAGUGCAUUGACGGUACCUGCAAAGGAAGCACCGGCUAACUCCGUGCCAGCAGCCGCGGUAAUACGGAGGGUGCGAGCGUUAAUCGGAAUUACUGGGCGUAAAGCGCUCGUAGGCGGUAUGUCAAGUCAAGGGUGAAAUCCCCGCGCUCAACGUGGGAACUGCCUUUGAACCUGGCAAACUGGAGUGUGUGAGAGGAUAGUGGAAUUCCAGGUGUAGGAGUGAAAUCCGUAGAUAACUGGAGGAACAUCAGGGGCGAGGGCGACUAUCUGGCACAUAACUGACGCUGAGGAGCGAAAGCGUGGGUAGCAAACAGGAUUAGAUACCCCAGUAGUC
rnacentral:rRNA from 1 species